UACGUAGGGUGCAAGCGUUGUCCGGAAUUAUUGGGCGUAAAGAGCUCGUAGGCGGUUUGUCGCGUCUGCUGUGAAAACCCGAGGCUCAACCUCGGGCCUGCAGUGGGUACGGGCAGACUAGAGUGCGGUAGGGAGAUUGGAAUUCCUGGUGUAGCGGUGAAUGCGCAGAUAUCAGGAGGAACACCGGUGGCGAAGGCGGCGACCUGGUCCGAUACUGACGCUGAGGCGCGAAGACGUGGAGCAACAGGAUAGAAC
rnacentral:rRNA from 1 species